GACGAAGGGGGCUUGCGUUGUUCGGAAUUACUGGGCGUAAAGGGCUCGUAGGCGGCCAACUAAGUCAGACGUGAAAUCCCUCAGCUUAACUGGGGAACUGCGUCUGAUACUGGAUGGCUUGGAUUCGGGAGAGGAAUGCGGAAUUCCAGGUGUAGCGGUGAAAUGCGUAGAUAUCUGGAGGAACACCGGUGGCGAAGGCGGCAUUCUGGACCGAUACUGACGCUGAGGAGCGAAAGCCAGGGGAGCAAACGGG
rnacentral:rRNA from 1 species